GUCACUUUCAUUUCAUUUGAGAAGCAAGAGGAUGCUAUCGAUAAUGGUGGUCCUCGUCGUGAGUUUUUUCAUCUGCUCCUUGGUGCAAUAUCUAAAGAAAGUGGCACCUUGUUAAAUACACCAGAAGGCCAUGUUAUAAGAGCUAAUUUCAAGGCAUUGCAAAGUGGUGCAUUUGCUGUGGUUGGAAAGAUGUUGGCAACUAUGAUUGUACAGGGAGGAGAGUUACCACAAAUCUUUGGCCCUGGUGUAUGUCAAUAUAUUCAGGGUGGGUUUGAUGAGGCAUUUCCCAUUGUUGAUGAAGUUCCAAAUAGCAACAUUCGAACAUCUCUAAAGGAGUUAAAUUCAGCAAAAUCCCAAGUGGAACUUGACAACUUGUGGAAGGAAUGUGCAUGGAAAUUUG